rnacentral:rRNA from 1 species
GUGGCGAACGGGUGAGUAACACGUGAGCAACCUGCCCCUGACUCUGGGAUAAGCGCUGGAAACGGCGUCUAAUACUGGAUAUGUGACGUGACCGCAUGGUCUGCGUCUGGAAAGAAUUUCGGUUGGGGAUGGGCUCGCGGCCUAUCAGCUUGUUGGUGAGGUAAUGGCUCACCAAGGCGUCGACGGGUAGCCGGCCUGAGAGGGUGACCGGCCACACUGGGACUGAGACACGGCCCAGACUCCUACGGGAGGCAGCAGUGGGGAAUAUUGCACAAUGGGCGCAAGCCUGAUGCAGCAACGCCGCGUGAGGGAUGACGGCCUUCGGGUUGUAAACCUCUUUUAGCAGGGAAGAAGCGAAAGUGACGGUACCUGCAGAAAAAGCGCCGGCUAACUACGUGCCAGCAGCCGCGGUAAUACGUAGGGCGCAAGCGUUAUCCGGAAUUAUUGGGCGUAAAGAGCUCGUAGGCGGUUUGUCGCGUCUGCUGUGAAAUCCGGAGGCUCAACCUCCGGCCUGCAGUGGGUACGGGCAGACUAGAGUGCGGUAGGGGAGAUUGGAAUUCCUGGUGUAGCGGUGGAAUGCGCAGAUAUCAGGAGGAACACCGAUGGCGAAGGCAGAUCUCUGGGCCGUAACUGACGCUGAGGAGCGAAAGGGUGGGGAGCAAACAGGCUUAGAUACCCUGGUAGUCCACCCCGUAAACGUUGGGAACUAGUUGUGGGGUCCAUUCCACGGAUUCCGUGACGCAGCUAACGCAUUAAGUUCCCCGCCUGGGGAGUACGGCCGCAAGGCUAAAACUCAAAGGAAUUGACGGGGACCCGCACAAGCGGCGGAGCAUGCGGAUUAAUUCGAUGCAACGCGAAGAACCUUACCAAGGCUUGACAUAUACGAGAACGGGCCAGAAAUGGUCAACUCUUUGGACACUCGUAAACAGGUGGUGCAUGGUUGUCGUCAGCUCGUGUCGUGAGAUGUUGGGUUAAGUCCCGCAACGAGCGCAACCCUCGUUCUAUGUUGCCAGCACGUAAUGGUGGGAACUCAUGGGAUACUGCCGGGGUCAACUCGGAGGAAGGUGGGGAUGACGUCAAAUCAUCAUGCCCCUUAUGUCUUGGGCUUCACGCAUGCUACAAUGGCCGGUACAAAGGGCUGCAAUACCGCGAGGUGGAGCGAAUCCCAAAAAGCCGGUCCCAGUUCGGAUUGAGGUCUGCAACUCGACCUCAUGAAGUCGGAGUCGCUAGUAAUCGCAGAUCAGCAACGCUGCGGUGAAUACGUUCCCGGGUCUUGUACACACCGCCCGUCAAGUCAUGAAAGUCGGUAACACCUGAAGCCGG